UUCUAUAUGUGUAUUUAGAAUAUUAUAGAUUUAAGUUCAUGACCAAAAAAGCUAUAUUUAUAUAUGUGAUGUCUGCCAGUCUUUCUCUAUGGAAUCAUAAUUAAGUGUGAAUUUAUAGGUAAGCGUAAUAAAGUGUUUUAAGUGUUUCCCAGCGAGAUAUAUUCAGUUGCUGGCCACUGCAAGGCCAUUGGCCCAACAGUCUCCGCUGCUGGCCCUGGGCGUUAAUACCUUUGACCUGCUGAUCCAGCUGGCGAGGGGGGGGCGUACACCCCUCACUACAGCCUGCAGUCACCCGCCUCACUUGUGCCUUCCUGAAGGAGGCAGGGCAGCCACCAAGCCUGUGGUUGGCUCACAGGAAGCCCCCAGAGCAUAAAAGUGAUGAUGCAGCGGCAUCAUUGCAGCCCUAGAGAGGAAGAGGAACAUGGCUGAAGACUUGGUUAAAAGAUUAGUCAAAUAUAGUGUUGAAACAGAUCUUUAAAGUGUUCACAGCAAUUCGGCUUUCAUUUGUAAACAAAGAGCAGACAGCUAGGAAGAUGACACCAGCAGCGGCAGGCGGAGACAGGCAGUGUGACACCGUAGCCCUCCGCUCUGCCUGACAUGUGCUGCGUGCCACGCAACCAAACUCAAGUGGAACAUGCACUGUUACAUGUACCAGGUUAUCGAACACCCCUAACAAGUGUGGCGCCAUUCGUAAGGCAACAAAACUGCUUGUCUUGAAAGAAAGUCCAGUGACAGAGACAACCUUGGCCAGUGUUGUGUUCGCUUCCUGACAGGGCGGGGAUUGUGACCAGGAAUUUGUCCAGCUUCCUCUUUGCCUUGGAAAGUGCAUUCCUGGCUGAGUGUGGUGCGUGUGCCUGCUACUCGUGUGGUGGUGCUGCUGCUGCGUGAAGCCUCUGCCGUGGGAACCCACCACAAAUAGCUAAUGGAUUCUGUAUGACGGGAUCAGCAGCAGACAGAAUUCCAGUGAUGUAUUAACAUGCCUAGGGACAGCCUUGGGGGCAUCCAUUACUGGCAGAAGCCCGAGUGUGCUGAGUGACGGGGCGGCAUGACCUUGCACAUCAGAGGGUCAGGCAGUGCAGUGCAGACUCCAAGGCUCCCCAAGUAUACAGCAUUGUUGUGUGUGUGGAUGGGGUGUGUGUGCCAGACUCCUCACACUCUGUAUUGGGCCUCUGUUGGAGGCGUCCCCUGUGAUAUAGUGGAUGACAACCUGGAGCUCUGUGACACACUGACAAGGGAGAAGGUUACUUGUCGCUCCAAGGCUAAGCUGGUCGGCCCCAUGAAUGUCACUGUCUGCGUUACCGGAAGAGGCGCGUCUGAAGUGACCAAGAUAGGAAGUGAUGUGCUGAGUUGGGCAGGAAUAUGAGAUGUAAGCAUUGGUGACCACUCAUGCUUGCCCACCCCGCUGAUUGACAACCUUGGUGAACUUUGGAUUUUUUUUAAAGCCAUCACUAGCAGACCUCUUGGGUGGUUUCCAAGACCCCAGCUUGGCCUUCAAGACACUUAACCAUACCAGGGUCUUCCUCCAGCAGCUCACCAGAAUAUAACUGGAUAACUUGCCUGCUGCCAGUACCUCCAGGCCUCUAGAGGUUGUGGCACCACAGCCUGCA